GAGCGGUAGUUCAGUUGGUUAGAAUACCGGCCUGUCACGCCGGGGGUCGCGGGUUCGAGUCCCGUCCGCUCC
rnacentral:tRNA from 40 species